CCCUUAGAUGUUCUGGGCCGCACGCGCGCUACAAUGAUGAAUUCAACGAGUUUAUAACCUUGGUUGAAAAGCCUGGGUAAUCUUUUGAACUUUCGUCGUGAUGGGGCUAGACCCUUGCAAUUAUUGGUCUCCAACGAGGAAUUCCUAGUAAACGCAAGUCAUCAGCUUGCAUUGAUUACGUCCCUGCCCUUUGUACACACCGCCCGUCGCACCUACCGAUUGAAUGGUCCGGUGAAAUCUUCGGAUUGAGACUUUGAUUUCUUCACGGAAAACGCUGUUUUAAAAAGUUGAUGAAACCUUACCAUUUAGAGGAAGGUGAAGUCGUAACA
rnacentral:rRNA from 1 species